rnacentral:rRNA from 1 species
UACGUAGGGGGCAAGCGUUGUCCGGAUUUAUUGGGCGUAAAGAGCGUGUAGGCGGCCAUGUAGGUCCGUUGUGAAAACUCGAGGCUCAACCUCGAGACGCCGAUGGAAACCAUGUGGCUAGAGUCCGGAAGAGGAGAGUGGAAUUCCUGGUGUAGCGGUGAAAUGCGCAGAUAUCAGGAAGAACACCCGUGGCUAAGGCGGCUCUCUAGUACGGUACUGACG